rnacentral:rRNA from 1 species
AUUGAACGCUGGCGGCAGGCCUAACACAUGCAAGUCGAGCGGAUGAAGGGAGCUUGCUCCUGGAUUCAGCGGCGGACGGGUGAGUAAUGCCUAGGAAUCUGCCUGGUAGUGGGGGAUAACGUCCGGAAACGGGCGCUAAUACCGCAUACGUCCUGAGGGAGAAAGUGGGGGAUCUUCGGACCUCACGCUAUCAGAUGAGCCUAGGUCGGAUUAGCUAGUUGGUGGGGUAAAGGCCUACCAAGCCGACGAUCCGUAACUGGUCUGAGAGGAUGAUCAGUCACACUGGAACUGAGACACGGUCCAGACUCCUACGGGAGGCAGCAGUCGGGAAUAUUGGACAAUGGGCGAAAGCCUGAUCCAGCCAUGCCGCGUGUGUGAAGAAGGUCUUCGGAUUGUAAAGCCCUUUAAGUUGGGAGGAAGGGCAGUAAGUUAAUACCUUGCUGUUUUGACGUUACCAACAGAAUAAGCACCGGCUAACUUCGUG